rnacentral:rRNA from 1 species
AUUGAACGCUGGCGGCAUGCUUUACACAUGCAAGUCGAACGGCAGCGCGGGCUUCGGCCUGGCGGCGAGUGGCGAACGGGUGAGUAAUGCAUCGGAACGUGCCCAGUAGUGGGGGAUAGCCCGGCGAAAGCCGGAUUAAUACCGCAUACGACCUGAGGGUGAAAGCGGGGGACCGAAAGGCCUCGCGCUAUUGGAGCGGCCGAUGUCGGAUUAGCUAGUUGGUGGGGUAAAGGCUUCCAAGGCGACGAUCCGUAGCUGGUCUGAGAGGACGACCAGCCACACUGGGACUGAGACACGGCCCAGACUCCUACGGGAGGCAGCAGUGGGGAAUUUUGGACAAUGGGGGCAACCCUGAUCCAGCCAUGCCGCGUGCGGGAAGAAGGCCUUCGGGUUGUAAACCGCUUUUGUUCGGGAAGAAAUCCUCUGGGCUAAUACCCCGGGGGGAUGACGGUACCGGAAGAAUAAGCACCGGCUAACUACGUG